GAUGAACGCUGGCGGCGUGCCUAAUACAUGCAAGUCGAGCGCAGCGGGGACGGGUGAGUAACACGUGGAUAACCUCCUAUAAGACUGGGAUAACUUCGGGAAACCGGAGCUAAACCGGAUACUUAUAGUUGGAUCCGCGCUGCAUUAGCUGGUUGUGAAGGUAACGGCUUACCAGGGCAACGAUGAAUAGCCGACCGGGGAGGGGGACGGGCCACACGGGAACGGGGAAACGGCCCAGACUCCUACGGGAGGAGGCGUUAGGGAAUCUGCCGCAAGGGGCGAAAGCCUGACGGAGCAAGGCCGCGUGAGUGAGGAAGGUCUUCGGAUCGUAAAACUCUUUGAUUAGGGAAGCGGUACCUAAUCAGAAAGCCACGGCUAACUACGUGCCAGCAGCCGCGGUAAUAC
rnacentral:rRNA from 1 species